CAAAGGUAGCAUAAUCAUUAGUUCUUUAAUUGUGAACUGGAAUGAAGGGUUGGACAAAGGAAGAGCUGUCUUAGAUCUAAUAAUCGAAAUUUACUUUUAAGUGAAAAGGCUUAAAUGGUUUAGAGGGACGAUAAGACCCUAUAAAGCUUUAUAUAUUACUUUAAUUUGAUUAACUUAUUAAAUAAAAAUUAAAUUUGAUUGUUAUAUUUUGUUGGGGAGAUGAGAGUAUAAAUAUGUGUAACUGCUUAAAUAAAAUACAAUGCUAGGAGAAUUAUUUGUAGAUGAUCCUUAUUAAAGAUUAUAAGAUCAAGUUACUUUAGGGAUAACAGCGUAAUUCCUUUUGAGAGUUCUUAUCGACAAAGGAGUUUGCGACCUCGAUGUUGAAUUAAAAUGUCUUUAUGGUGUAGCCGCUAUAAAAGAAGGUCUGUUCGACCUUUAAAUUUUUACAUGAUUUGAGUUCAAACCG
rnacentral:rRNA from 1 species